rnacentral:lncRNA from 1 species
CAGAAUUUGAAAGCAGCCACCGCCGCGACCUGGACCAAUGAUCUGGGCAGAGCGCGGGGGGAGUUUCAGCUCAGCAGCUCUGGCGCCCGUUACGAACAGCGGCCUUCGCUCCCGGCCACGCGCAGCCCGCGCUCAUCUCAGUGCCUGCUCCCCCGGCCGCCCAGGGGCCCCGGCUGGAGCAGGAGCACAGGAGAUCCGUGGGGAUGCCGGAGCGCAGCAGUGGGUUGGCACCGGCAGCCCCAUGGAGCGUGAGCUGGGCACGGAGGGCUUCUUCCCCCCGAGGAAAUAUCUCAGCUGUCAGCAUCACAGUGCUGAGCCAAAGCUUCCCGGAGGUGCGCAAUGA